CCCUAUGGGGUGCAGCAGGCGCGAAACCUUUACAAUGCACGAAAGUGUGAUAAGGGGAUUCCAAGUGUGCAUAUACCAUAUGCACUUUUCUUCAGUCUAAAACGCUGGAGGAAUAAGGGGUGGGUAAGUCUAGUGCCAGCCGCCGCGGUAAAACUAGCAUCCCUAGUGGCAGUCACCAUUACUGGGCUUAGAGCGUUCGUAGCUUGUUUCGAAAGUCUCUGCUGAAAUCCUGCGGCUUAACCGUAGGGCUUGGCGGAGAAACUCCGAGACUUGAGGACAGGAGAGGUCGGGGGUACUUCUGGGGUAGGGGUGAAAUCCUAUAAUCCUAGAAGGACCAACAGUGGCGAAGGCGCCCGACAUGAAUGUGCCUGACAGUGAGGAACGAGAGCCAGGGUCGCGAAAGGGAUUAGAUACCCCUGUAGUCCUGGCCGUAAACGAUGUUGACUAGGUGGGGCAUGCUCCUCGUGAUCAUGCUAUGCCGAAGGGAAACCGUUAAGUCAACCGCCUGGGGAGUACGUUCGCAAGAAUGAAACUUAAAGGAAUUGGCGGGGGAGCACUACAAGGGGUGGAAGCUGCGGUUUAACUAGAUUCAACGCUGGACAUCUCACCGGAGGCGACAGCAGUAUGAAGGUCACGCUGAUGGUCUUACCGGACACGCUGAGAGGAAGUGCAUGGCCAAGGCG
rnacentral:rRNA from 1 species